rnacentral:rRNA from 1 species
UAAGGAAUAUUGGUCAAUGGACGCAAGUCUGAACCAGCCAUGCCGCGUGAAGGAUGAAGGUCCUCUGGAUUGUAAACUUCUUUUAUCUGGGACGAAAACGGGAUUUUUAUCUCAAUUGACGGUACCAGAGGAAUAAGCACCGGCUAACUCCGUGCCAGCAGCCGCGGUAAUACGGAGGGUGCGAGCGUUAUCCGGAUUUACUGGGUUUAAAGGGCGCGCAGGCGGGAUAAAAAGUCAGUGGUGAAAUCCUACAGCUUAACUGUAGAACUGCCUUUGAUACUUUUAUUCUUGAGUUCGGGAGAGAGAGACGGAAUUCCGGGUGUAGUGGUGAAAUACGUAGAUAUCUGGAAGAACACCAGUUGCGAAGGCGGUCUCUUGGUCCGACACUGACGCUGAGGCGCGAAAGCGUGGGGAGCAAACA